AAGAGACAGCAGUCGCCGCGGUAAUACGGAGGGUGCGAGCGUUAAUCGGAAUUACUGGGCGUAAAGCGUACGCAGGCGGUUUGUUAAGUCAGAUGUGAAAUCCCCGAGCUUAACUUGGGAACUGCAUUUGAAACUGGCAAGCUAGAGUCUUGUAGAGGGGGGUAGAAUUCCAGGUGUAGCGGUGAAAUGCGUAGAGAUCUGGAGGAAUACCGGUGGCGAAGGCGGCCCCCUGGACAAAGACUGACGCUCGGGUGCGAAAGCGUGGGGAGCAAACAGGAUUAGAUACCCGGGUAGUCCCUGUCUCUUAUAU
rnacentral:rRNA from 1 species